rnacentral:rRNA from 1 species
UACGUAGGGGGGCUAGCGUUGUCCGGAAUCAUUGGGCGUAAAGCGCGUGUAGGCGGUCCGGUAAGUCCGCUGUGAAAAGUCGGGGGGCUCAACCCUCGGAUGCCGGUGGAUACUGUCGGGCUUGAGUACGGAAGAGGCGAGUGGAAUUCCUGGUGUAGCGGUGAAAUGCGCAGAUAUCAGGAGGAACACCAAUUGCGAAGGCAGCUCGCUGGGACGUUACUGACGCUGAGACGCGAAAGCGUGGGAGCAAACAGG